UGGGGCAGUGUUCGGACUCAGCUUGAGCGUUGGAGGACAGGAGAGGAAAAGGGGGAGGGGGAGGAAAGCUUCUUUCCGACGCCCCCUCCACCAACCUCCCCCGGCAGGGCAGCACCACUGACCUCAUUCGCCCAACUGUAUCCAGGCCUGCUGGGCUCCAGGCCAGUGGGGCGCUUCUCUCUCCACCUCCAGGGAAUUCGAGGGUGAGAGGGGUGUCUGCUUUCCCCGAUUCCAGCAGGAUCCCCAAGCGCUCCGGGCGCCCCGGCCCGGGCCCGGUGGCCAGGACUCGGUAGAUCCAGUCGCCUCUGGUUGCUGAGAUAGUUUCGCACACCCCACACUGGCCUCAAACUCUCUAUGUAGUUGAAGAUGACCUUGCACUUCUGACCCUCUACUUCCCAAAUACUGGGAUUACAGGGCCUAGAAGUUUGAAGCAAGAGGAUUUCUGAGAGUUUGAAGCCUGGCUGGCCCAUAUGAUCCUGUCUCAAAAAGUGAAAACACUCAGUUUC
ensembl:antisense Gm42882 predicted gene 42882